rnacentral:rRNA from 1 species
CCCUUAGAUGUCCUGGGCUGCACGCGCGCUACACUGAUGUGUCCAGUAAGCACCUAACCUCUUCCGAAAGGAACGGGUAACCUUUGCAAAGCACAUCGUGAUGGGGACAGAUUAUUGCAAUUAUUAGUCUUGAACGAGGAAUUCCUAGUAAGCACAAGUCAUCAGCUUGUGUUGAUUACGUCCCUGCCCUUUGUACACACCGCCCGUCGCUCCUACCGAUUGAAUGUUCCGGUGAGCUCUUCGGACUGCGCGGUCUGCAGUUUCUGCGUUCCGUGCGGAAAGUUGCGCAAACCUUAACAUUUAGAGGAAGGAGAAGUCGUAACA